AUUUUCUAUAAAUACAAAAAAUCAGAUUUCUCAAUAAGGAAACCCGAAAAUUUCCAGAUUUUUCUCCUCCUCGCUGCCUUGGCUUCACGGCGUCGCCACGACUUCAUCCGGCCACCUAUGGCCAUGAAAUUGAUAUCAAUCUCUUCGCCUUGAAACCAGCUUUCCAUUCAUAUAUGUCUUGCAUCCUAUCAUUCACCAUAGACAACGAAUCGAAGCAAAGAAGGUCAGACCAUUUUUCAUGCAUUUCUUCAAAUUCCAGCCAACUCCGGCAAAGGUAGGAGGGGAGACCAACUGGGCUUUGUUCGCCUUGCCAUGCUCUAUAAACUCACCAAGUUUCACAUCUCGAUUCAACCCGAGGAAGACGAAUUUCAGAUUUGAGCGAUUUUGGGCGAUUUCGGCCUCUUUCUUCUUGAGGUGAUUGGCGGAUUGAUUUGGCGGACGAUUCGUAAAAUCGUUGUUGAGCUGUUUAGAAGACGCAACGGGAAUUAGAGCGGGUAAUCCUACAGGACAGGAGAACCAGGACGGUGAUCGUGCGGUUAGAGCAAUUGUUAGAGUUUUACAACAAUUGUAAGUUGUGAGGUGUGUUAUGCUCAUUUGAGCUUUAUAAUAUAUUGUGAGAGUGAAUUGUAAUAAUGAACUCGAAGUUUCGAGAUUUGGUUUUUUGUAAUUGUAAUUAUUCAGGUUUCGGAUUUGAAUUUAUUAUUCAAAAUUCGGGGCGUGACAGUUUGGUAUCAGAGCGUAAGGUGCAUAUUUGGUGAUGUGUCAAUACCUUCCGAGUGAUGGCCCGUCUGCAGCGGAUCCCCAUCGUGUGCUCUUUGGUAUUGGCUAAGUCAUUGGGUAUGCGUGAGUGUUGGGAGUUGUUUAGGCCGCUAGGUCGUUUAGGGAACGUGAAUACAUUCCCUAUAGUAUUGACUUGGUUAAUAUGAAUUUGUAUUUGACUUAUACUGUGUUUUAAGUGUUAUACAAGUAUUAGCCAAGCAUACUAUACUCCUUAGGUGAUGGAUAUUCGAAGGGGUUGUACUUAGAACCUUACAGUUGUCUUGUAGGUUCGUAUGAGAAUAAGUUCAGUGGCCGCGAGUUACAAUCCUUGAGGAAUAGGAACCUCUUGAUUCAACUCUGUUAAGUCAACGAGGAUUGUUUUAUGGAAAUGAGGUUCUUUUGAUUGUUGAAGUGUUUGGUUGAAGGCAUGGUCUGGACCUAUGCUCGUCUGUAAUGUGGAUACGAGUAUUAAUCGAUGGUAAUUUUGCCUUUUUAAGUUGGAUAUACUAAUGUUCUUGAAUAGAUUCUUGACUCAUGUGGAGUUGUGAGUAGUGUUGCGGUUAGGGAAGGAAUUAUUGCGGUUACUUCUUCCUUGUGCUUGUAAGUUGUUAAGCAGGGUUUAAGGUGCGAGACAAGAAUUUUAUUUUGUGCUCGAUGGUUAGAGAG